GUGCCAGCCGCCGCGGUAAUACGUAGGUGGCAAGCGUUGUCCGGAAUUACUGGGCGUAAAGGGCGAGUAGGCGGUUCUGGCAGUCAGAUGUGAAAGGCAAGGGCUCAACCCUUGGACAGCAUUUGAAACACCAAAACUUGAGUGCGGUAGAGGAAAGUGGAAUUCCCAGUGUAGCGGUGAAAUGCGUAGAUAUUGGGAGGAACACCAGUGGCGAAGGCGACUUUCUGGGCCGUAACUGACGCUGAGGCGCGAAAGCGUGGGGAGCAAACAGGAUUAGAUACCCUGGUAGUCCACGCCGUAAACGAUGGAUGCUAGGUGUGGGAGGUAUCGACCCCUUCCGUGCCGGAGUAAACGCAAUAAGCAUCCCGCCUGGGGAGUACGACCGCAAGGUUGAAACUCAAAGGAAUUGACGGGGGCCCGCACAAGCAGCGGAGCGUGUGGUUUAAUUCGAAGCAACGCGAAGAACCUUACCAAGGCUUGACAUCCCCCGCAAUCUCGGGAAACCGGGAGUUCCCUUCGGGGACGGGGAGACAGGUGGUGCACGGUUGUCGUCAGCUCGUGUCGUGAGAUGUUGGGUUAAGUCCCGCAACGAGCGCAACCUUGUACUUAGUUGCCAGCACUUAAGUUGGGCACUCUAGGUAGACUGCCGGUGACAAACCGGAGGAAGGUGGGGAUGACGUCAAAUCAUCAUGCCCCUUAU
rnacentral:rRNA from 1 species